rnacentral:rRNA from 1 species
UGAGUGAUGAAGGCCUUCGGGUUGUAAAGCUCUUUCGUCCGGGAAGAUAAUGACGGUACCUGGAGAAUAAGCCCCGGCUAACUUCGUGCCAGCAGCCGCGGUAAUACGAAGGGGGCUAGCGUUGUUCGGAAUUACUGGGCGUAAAGGGUGCGUAGGCGGUUCUUUAAGUCUGGUGUGAAAUCCCCGGGCUCAACCCGGAAGGUGCCUUUAAUACUGAAGAGCUUGAGUGCGGGAGAGGUGAGUGGAAUUCCUGGUGUAGAGGUGAAAUGCGUAGAUAUUCGGAGGAACACCAGUGGCGAAGGCGGCUCACUGGACCGAUACUGACGCUGAGGCACGAAAGCGUGGGGAGCAAACAGGAUUAGAUACCCUGGUAGUCCACGCCCUAAACGAUGAAUGCUUGCUGUGGGCGGUUCUAUUCGUCCGUGGCGCAGCUAACGCGUUAAACAUUCCGCCUGGGGAGUACAGUCGCAAGACUG